rnacentral:rRNA from 1 species
AGCAGUCGCCGCGGUAAUACGAAGGGUGCAAGCGUUACUCGGAAUUGCUGGGCGUAAAGCGCACGCAGGCGGUUUGUUAAGUCAGAUGUGAAAUCCCCGAGCUUAACUUGGGAACUGCAUUUGAAACUGGCAAGCUAGAGUCUUGUAGAGGGGGGUAGAAUUCCAGGUGUAGCGGUGAAAUGCGUAGAGAUCUGGAGGAAUACCGGUGGCGAAGGCGGCCCCCUGGACAAAGACUGACGCUCAGGUGCGAAAGCGUGGGGAGCAAACAGGAUUAGAUACCCCCGUAGUCCUGUCUCUUAUACA